UACGAAGGGGGCUAGCGUUGCUCGGAAUUACUGGGCGUAAAGGGCGCGUAGGCGGCACUGUUAGUCAGGCGUGAAAGUCCUGGGCUCAACCUGGGAACUGCGCUUGAUACGGCAGAGCUAGAGGAUGGAAGAGGCUCGCGGAAUUCCCAGUGUAGAGGUGAAAUUCGUAGAUAUUGGGAGGAACACCAGUGGCGAAGGCGGCUACCUGGACCGGUUCUGACGCUGAGGCGCGAAAGCGUGGGUAGCAAACAGG
rnacentral:rRNA from 1 species